AAAAACAAAAAAAACGUAAUAUAAAACUUGGUCGACGUUACCCUCUAACUCACUUCCAAUCUCCGAUCGACGCCAAAACUUAGCUUUACCCAAUUCCGCCGGAGAAGAUGCAGCAGAGGAAGCCGACGGCGGGAAGACCAAGUGGUACCGAUGGAUCCGAUUUCUCAUACCGCAUGGUCGUUGACUCUCGUUACACGAAGGUCACUAAAGAAAAAGCUCGUCUCCGUCCUUUGAUCUUUGUUCAGGCUGUGAUUUAUUUAAUCGGAGUAUGAGAUGAACACCCUUGCAAUUGCAGCUGCUGCUGCUGGCUUUGUGUCUUCAUUGAUAGGAGAAUUAGGUUGCAGACGCAGCAGAGUAAACCUUUUGAGGCUCUAUACGGCUACAUCUACCAUUGUUAUGGUUCUUUCGGUGUUUUGUGCUGUUAGGAGCAGAUUAACAAUGGAGGAACGGGAUAGCUCGGGAACAACAGCAAAGCUUGAGCUCGUAGGGUUCAUUUGUGCUCAAUUAGGAGCGGUGGUGCAGAUAUUUGUGAUCGUUGUUACGGGUUCCCUUGUCAGUAACAUGUCUCCACCUACGAAAGCAGCAUAGGGAAACAGAGAAAUCGGGCCAGUGUCAGUGUGUGAUUCUCCUACAUGAAGAAAUUUGAAGUUUUGAACGGUUUUUUUUUUCUCUACAAAACGAAUAUUUUGUACAACUCUUGUUAAAAAUUACGUUAACCUUUUCAAUUAACCAUUCAAAACACAUUAACACAUUAUGGGUAGAGUGAUGCACCAUAAGAUUAAGUCCUACUCUUAA